rnacentral:tRNA from 1 species
GCGGGUGUGGCGGAACUGGUAGACGCGCAAGAUUAAGGAUCUUGUGGGCAAUUAUGCCCGUGAAGGUUCAAGUCCUUUCACCCGCA